rnacentral:rRNA from 1 species
GACGUAGGGCGCGAGCGUUGUCCGGAUUUAUUGGGCGUAAAGAGCUCGUAGGCGGCUUGUUGCGUCGACUGUGAAAACCUGCGGCUCAACCGUGUGGUCUGCAGUCGAUACGGGCAGGCUGGAGUUCGGUAGGGGAGACUGGAAUUCCUGGUGUAGCGGUGAAAUGCGCAGAUAUCAGGAAGAACACCAAUGGCGAAGGCAGCUCUCUGGGACGGUACUGACGCUGAGACGCGAAAGCGUGGGGAGCGAACAGG